GCGAGGAAGAGGCAGUGCGAAGCCGGGUGGUUGCGCAUGCGCUUUUGUCGCCUCAGCGCGGGGUGUGGAGGCGGGUGACUUCAGGUCCCGAGGGAAGGGCGCAAGCUGCCUGCUCCGAGGGGCACGCGCAGACCACACCGGUAGUAACCACGGGAGGGCUUAAAUACAAAGUGAAUAAGAAUGUCGAUAGUCACAGUCCAGCUUGGUCAGUGUGGUAAUCAGAUUGGUCAUGACGUGUUUAACACUAUCUGCGGUGACAUCCACGGCACACGUGGCUUGUGUUCCAAGAAGGAGAAUGAAUCCUACAAUGAUGCUUGCACUGAACGUUUUUUCUGUGAGGAAGAAUCUGAAGUACCUGUUGCUCGGGCUGUGCUUGUUGACAUGGAACCGAAAGUAAUCAGCCAAACCUUAUCAACGGCUGCCAGGUCUGGCUACUGGAAAUACGACGAUCGGUCACAUUUCUGUCAGAAGCAAGGGUCUGGGAACAACUGGGCAAAUGGUUUUUCUGUUCACGGGCCUAGACACAAAGAAGUAAUAAUGAAUCUGGUGCAAAAAGAAGCAGAGAAAUGUGAUCGACUCGGUGGAUUUUUCACAAUAAUGAGCAUGGCUGGUGGUACAGGGUCUGGCUUGGGAGCAUUUGUGACCCAGUGUUUAAGAGAUGCUUUUCCUACCUCAUUUAUACUAAACCAUGUUAUCUGGCCCUACGGCACUGGUGAGGUAAUUGUUCAAAACUACAACUCUGUUUUGACUUUGUCACAUCUGUACCAGUCAUCAGAUGCCCUUCUUGUUCAUGAAAAUGAUGUCAUCCACAAGAUCUGCGCUCAGCUGAUGAAUAUUAAACAGAUCUCCUUCAGGGAUGUAAAUCAAGUCAUUGCACAUCAACUGGGGAGUGUUUUCCAGCCCACUUACACAGCAGAAGGUGGCUUACACUAUAGCAGAAACCCAUUAGGAGAGUUAAUGGAGACGUUAGUUCCACAUCCCGAAUUCAAGAUGUUGGGUCUUCGUAACAUACCUCAGAUGCCUGAAAACUCCCUCGCUUAUAGCACAUUCAGUUGGCCUGGACUCAUCAAACAUUUAAGGCAGAUGCUCAUUGCUAAUGCUAAAAUGGAGGAAGGUAUUGAUUGGCAGGUACGACCACCACGUCUAGGCUGCUCCAUCCCCUCCAGUCAUUCCACAAACAAGCCCCUGCAUUUCAAUACUUCCAUUGCCAACCUGGUGAUCCUGCGAGGGAAAGAUGUGCACAGCACAGACUUAGCUUUCCUGAAAGAACGCAGCAUUGCAAAAUCUUCCAUCAACCUCCUGAAGUACAUAAAUUACUGGACUAGAACUAUUUUUCACUCUUGCCAGGUACAGAAGCACCAAAAUCCCUGCCCAAGCACCUGUCCUCAAAUGACACCUCCAUGACACCUGGAAUAGCAAACACACUUCUUGACAAGAUUCAAGUAUGAUUGUAUCUGAAGAAAAUAAGUCCAGUUUCUUCAAGAGGCAUAAAAGAAACGUGGCGCACACAAAUCUGCUUUUUCAAGUCUUUUUAACAGAUGGAAAGAGCCUAAGAAACCUGCAGUCUCAGGAAAAACACACAGUCCCUUAAAUUUCACACGGUUUCUACACGUAAGUGUUAGCCUCAAACAAAGUAUUUAUGUGGUUUAGUUAGCAGCAGCUUCUGCCACAGAACUGCCAGUUUCUUUCCUGACAAUACAGAAUAAAAAUAGAGGUACCACAAGGUCAUUGCAUGCAGAUAGAACGAGAUUUGGGAAAUGUAUCUAAUCUCUUAAAGACUUUCUUACACUUUGUCAAAUGGUUUGAGGCAGAAUUGAACCUCCCCAGGAACACGGGGCACUGGUGGUGCCUGUGCUCGAGUAGCUUAGAGCUCUGGCUGACGCCUUCCACCAAGUCAAUGCCACCUUCCAAGGAAAAGGCUUUCGCCUGUAGAAAUGUCACACAGAUCAGCUGGUACACAAGUCAGGCAACAGGUGACUCCCUGCAGACUGCUGCGGUCACAAUCUUGUGCAAAACCAGGCUAACAAACACUUCAGUGAGGUUCCCGGCAUUUGCCUAGACCUGAGCUAUCUGUGAGAUAAGUGCAACACUCUCUAUAACAAAAAGCAGUCAAAUGACAUGCCACCAAGACCACAAGGAAACAAAAAGUUCCAACCAACCACCUCUCAGGAGGAGGCACAAUCAGACCUGUGUGGUCUGCUCUCUCCCAUCAGCAUUAAAAAAAACCCUCAACAAACCAAAACAGAUGAAUUAUGCCUUAAAUCACAGGUACUGAACACAUGGCCAUUCCCUCACAGGACCCCUCAACCAGGAACAGCACAGCAGUCACCAGAGAAAAGACACCAACUUGCACUUUUCACAAGGACAGAAAAGCAGUUUCUGAGGCCAUGGGAGAAGGGCGCGGCUUGCAGGGCAGAUAUCAGAGCAGGGAACAACACACUGAGCUGACAAAUCCUAUCUCUUGCCUUUCAUCAGGAAAUAGCAGCUAGUUUCCUUAUUACCAGCUGCCCGGGCAACUCAUUUAAGCUUCUUGGGAAACCAGAAGAACAAUUAAGCUGGCAGUAACUCCCUUGAAACACGGAAGAUGCAGCAUGCUUGCUUAUCCAUAUCUGAACUGCUCGUCAAAUGAGGUUUAACGAAAGAUGACCUUUGAUUUAACGCUAAUGUAGUCAAUGAUCUUUGAAUCAUUCCGUGAAUGAAUAAUAAAAAAAAACACUCUUUAGCACAAUAAAGGACAGUGUUAAAAACAAACUGAACCUAAGCUUGGCCCAUUUCACAGGUUCCCAUUUGUUUUGCCACAACUGAACAUCACUGGCGGUGAAUAGGCUGGGUGACUUUGCCUCUUCACUUGAAAUUCAGCACUGAAUAAUAGUCUGCUUUUUUGACCAAAAUACCAUUUUGCUGAAUUCCUGAUACAUGCCAAGAAGCCCGUCGCAGAUUGCUGGGCUCUUCCCAUUUGCCUGUACCUGGGAGGCAGUGUAGCCAGAUGGCUUCUGGACAUAUGAUGACAGUUCAUGCAUUUGAGCCCCUUUUGCUCUUUUGACAACUGACCCAGGUUGCUAGAGCCUCUCCCAUUCACACCACUACCAAGACAGCAUUUUGCUGCCUUUUAUGAAAGCUGAGUGGAUGCAGCAAUAAACUCACACUAGCAUUUCAUGCCCUCAAUUAGACACCUGAAUUAGGAAAGUCAGAGCAGUAUAAUCCUUUUAAAAAUGAGUUUGUAAGAGCAUAUGCAAAUAUUUACCCUCCAUCUAGGUCUGAAUGUUAGCAGGGUGUUUCCCGGGGAGGGCGAUUGCUUCACUCCCCGUUUCCUGAAGAGGUUCCAACAACCCACCCAGGCUCCAGCAAUCAAACCUCACCUGGGCCAGCAGGCACUCAGCGCAGGGGCCAGCCCAGCAGGAGCCCUCCCUGGCUAUUGCUCUCCCACUUUCACACUCCUCUUACUGCUGCUGCACUCCUGACAAUGCUGGGCUAAGUGCUUACUGUUUUUUCUUUUUCCCUACCAAAAAAUGAAAAAUACAAAUUUAGAGUAAAAACCCUAGAAUUUUAAAUCUCCGAAGAGCAAUUUCAAUUACCUGAUAUAUAAUUACAUUUGACCUUUUGACUGCUGAUUACAAAGUAUUUUUUCACCAUGUGCUUCAAAUAAAACUGAAUUACUUUUACCUCCAAGGAACACACCCAAUCACCACUUUUACACCUGCAAUCAAUUUUGUUCACUAAUAUUUAUAUUUGUGCUUGAUAAUCAGGGAAACAUCCACAGUAUUUGUGCUUGCAAUUAGCACUGCCUGCAGUGAGAGGGAAGCUGAUUCUGACAAAUUAAAUAACGAAACCCAAAAGCACAGCAGGGGAGGACUUUCUGGAACAGCAUUAAGCCAUCUUCGAGUAUUAAUGACAAGCAUCUUUUAGCAUGAACAGGCAGCUGGGUGAUUUCAGAGGGAGCCACUUUAACAAGAAACACAGUGUGACAAGCAGAGACAGGGAGCAGGAGGUGUCCUGAUGGGUCUGAGGGAAGUGUGGGACUGGACGACUCGACCUGACACCGCCUGUGGCUCUAGGCUGGGCCUGGCACAGACCAGUGGGACCUUUUCAGCUUUGCUUACGCGUGCGCCGCCCCGGCCCCGGCGGGGUACAUCGUGGCUGCCCCUCACGCCGCCUUCACAACACAUUGCAGCCAAGGCACGAUUCACAGGUCAGGCAGCAAGUGAAGAGAGAACCAAGAGGAGGAUUAGCUGCAAUCCUACCUGACCUCAGCUCUGGUUUGCUGCUCUGAAUUGUUAGGCUGGCGACACAGCCAUCUUUCUGCUCUGCUUCCUAUUUACAGUGCCCUCGUGAAAGCAGAGAUUUAGCCAUGUUCCACAGAUGAUGAGACUAAAAAAAAAAUAAAUAUCACCUCAAAGUCAUCUUUGGUGAUUAAUCAAACAUUAGUUGUUACAAGGCUUGUUACUUCUGUGUGAUUUUCAGUAAUUCCAAGAACAAAGCAAGAUCCUUCAUUCAGUGUCUAAACUGCAAGAAUCAUCCACUAAAAAGACAGUGAUCUGUGCUGAUGUUGUUUCUCUUGCAACAGAGCUCACUUUGGAUUUUUCUCUAACACUUUAAACUAGAUGAUUGACUGCUUCCAACAUGUAACUGAAAAUAUGUAUAACGAAUUGAAACUUUGGAUUAAGGGAGCAAAAUACGCGUUUUCAGAUGAAAUGCUAAAGGCUCUGGGUCUUUCUUUGAAGCCACAAAAUGCAACUGCAGAUGUAUCUUCUUGAUUCACACUCACUGCAGAAUGCUUGGGAUAACAAAUUUCACAGCCUAAUAACCAAACUCAAUAUACAGAAAUGGAAACAAUCCAGCUGAAAUAAACACCGGGAAACAGUUAUUUGUUUGUUUAUUUAAGCAAACAUUAAAACUAUCCAUGUGCAAAUCUCAUUAGGUUGGCAUAACUUUCAUUUCUAUUAUUUUUUUACCUUUUACCAAGUCUCAUGAUCUCCCAGCGGCUCAACAGGUAGAAGCAGAAUGAGGAGUCCCUUCUUUAAAUAGUGUUAGAAAGCUUCAAAGUAACAGCAUAGCUUAUUGGAAUGGACACAUAUAAACAUGAGUUGCAGAACAAUAGAUAUAUAUAUUUCGUACUGUAUGCAUGUAAACAUAUACUGAAGUAAAAGUGGGAGAAAGCUUUCAAUUUGUCUCGUGAUUUUUCAGCAGACAAGAAGGCAUAAUUGUGAGACUGCUAAAGCAUUCAGAAGGGUAGAGUUUAUUGGCUCAAGCUCUAGGAAAAGGGUUGUUUUUCUUUUAAGUUACUGUUACAGUCUCCUCAUUUCAAUCUGACAGCAUCUGACAGCAUGAGGGACCUCACAUGGCAUCAAUGUCAUUUACUCUCAUGAAAGGCUUUAAGACACUACCAGAACUGUGUGAAGUAAAUCCGAGGUCCCUAAGGUGAAUGGCAGAUUUGAGGACAAAAAGACCCAGGGAAAGUAGCAAACAGCUGUUUCACUAAUCCAAGUAUCCUGAAGAAAAAAGAAACAAA